GCCUGGGUGGCGGAACUGGUAGACGCGCUGGAUUCAAAAUCCAGUUCCUUCGGGAGUGAGGGUUCGAUUCCCUCCCCAGGUACAA
rnacentral:tRNA from 1 species